rnacentral:rRNA from 1 species
GACGAACGCUGGCGGCGUGCUUAACACAUGCCAGUCGAACGGAAAGGCCCUGCUUUUGUGGGGUGCUCGAGUGGCGAACGGGUGAGUAACACGUGAGUAACCUGCCCUUGACUUUGGGAUAACUUCAGGAAACUGGGGCUAAUACCGGAUAGGAGCUCCUGCUGCAUGGUGGGGGUUGGAACGUUUAGGCGGUUGGGGGUGGACUCGCGGCUUAUCAGCUUGUUGGUGGGGUAGUGGCUUACCAAGGCUUUGACGGGUAGCCGGCCUGAGAGGGUGACCGGGCACAUGGGGACUGAGAGAGGGACCAGAGUGGAACGGGAGGCAGUAGUGGGGAGUCUUGUACAGUGGGGGGGAGUGUGUGGAGGCAGUGCUCGGAGUGUGAUGCAGUCCUUGGGGGUGGAAAGCGCAGUAGCCUAAGACGAAGCUGGAGUGACGGUAACGGGUAAAGAAGCACCGGCUAACUACGUG